rnacentral:rRNA from 1 species
AUUGAACGCUGGCGGCAGGCUUAACACAUGCAAGUCGAACGAGUGGCGGACGGGUGAGUAAUGCCUGGGAAUCUGGCUUAUGGAGGGGGAUAACGACGGGAAACUGUAGCUAAUACCGCAUACAAUCAGAUGUGCCCAAGUGGGAUUAGGUGGUUGGUGGGGUAAGGGCCAACCAAGUCGACGAUCCCUAGCUGGUCUGAGAGGAUGACCGGCCACACCGGGACUGUGACACGGUCCAGACUCCUACGGGAGGCAGCAGUGGGGAAUAUUGCGCAAUGGGCGCCACCCUGAUGCAGCCAUGCCGCGGGAAUGAAGAAGGCCUUCGGGUUGUAAAGUACUUUCAGCGAGGAGGCGUUAAUCACAGAAGAAGCACCGGCUAACUCCGUGCCAGCAGCCGCGGUAAUAC